rnacentral:lncRNA from 1 species
GAUGAGAUGACUUGGGACACUUUCAGGCGACAUGUCCAUGAGUCUCUGGCAUCCAACACCUGUGAUGUACCUCAAGGCCUGCUGAUGAGAUUCUGGGACAAGCAACCAAAAGCCAGCAAAGAAAAGCAUCAACUUGGAUUCAUUUAGGACCAGGAGGGAUUGAAGCUGGAUCAGUCUUAACUAGGACUGUUCUAACAAUGUGUUCUCAGCUUUUUGCUAUCAAAAGCAUUGCAGAGCUCAGAAGAGUCUGAAAACAUUUUCCUUUCUCCCUCCAAGGCCAGAAGGGAAUAAUGUCUGGUGGCCUACCAGAGGGGCUGCUGUGGCUGUUGCUAAUCGGACAAUGCUGUGGAAGGUUUCAUAAAGAGUUCGCAACUUGCGUGAAGAAACUGAAGCUUUAUGAGUGGGCAUGGCAGGCUCCACUUCGAUCAACUGCGACACUGCAGCUUCAGCAAAGAUGAAUGGUUCCAUCGCUUGACACAGCAGCAGGAUAGGCCUCUGGAUCGCCUGGAAGUGAAGCAUCUGGGGACAUCUCCUAAUAGAGACAGAAUCAAAGAAAAACAAGGUGAUAAUAAUUUAGUAGAGACAAGGAAUCGUGUAAACCAGGUUGUCCUUGAUCCGGCUCCGACUGUCUUUAGCUCCCAAGGGUAUGCAGCACCAUGACUGGAUAUAAAUGCUAUUAAAUGAAAUGUUAGUUUGCUCUCUUACUGUCUAAGAUUUCAAGAUGCUAGAUAUAUCAUACAAUAAAAAAAGAAGAUAUUUUAAUGUCACUGUUUGAGUGACAAAGAAAUUCAAGUAAAUUAUUGUGAAUUCAUGUUCUAAAAUUUUUUGUAUUAAACUAUGAUUGCUAGUUGGCUGCUGUACUGACAAGGAUUGAGGCUUUUGAUCAGAAGAUACAAGUACUGAUGUAAGAGCAGCAUUACCACCAAUUGGAACUGAUU